AAAGACUGACGCUCAUGCACGAAAGCGUGGGGAUCAAACAGGAUUAGAUACCCUGGUAGUCCACGCUGUAAACGAUGAUCACUCGUUGUUGGCGAUAUACUGUCAGCGACUGAGGGAAACCAUUAAGUGAUCCACCUGGGGAGUACGGCGGCAACGUUGAAACUCAAAGGAAUUGACGGGGGCCCGCACAAGCGGAGGAGCAUGUGGUUUAAUUCGAUGAUACGCGAGGAACCUUACCUGGGCUUAAAUGCAGGACGACGUUUCGUGAAAGCGGAAUUUCCUUCGGGACGUCUUGCAAGGUGCUGCAUGGUUGUCGUCAGCUCGUGCCGUGAGGUGUCGGGUUAAGUCCCAUAACGAGCGCAACCCUUAUCAUUAGUUGCCAUCAGGUCAUGCUGGGAACUCUAAUGAAACUGCCUACGCAAGUAGUGAGGAAGGUGGGGAUGACGUCAAAUCAGCACGGCCCUUAUGUCCAGGGCGACACACGUGCUACAAUGGCCAGUACAGAGGGUUGCAAA
rnacentral:rRNA from 1 species